rnacentral:RNase_P_RNA from 2 species
UGAGUAAACUAGAUGAUCGCGGGCACAAGCCGCAAGGCUGUGUCUGAGGAAAGUCCGGGCUCCAUAGGGCAGGGUGCUGGUUAACGACCAGUGAGGGCAACCUCAAGGAAAGUGCCACAGAAAAAAACCGCCCGCCGCUUUAGGCGGCAGGUAAGGAUGCAACGGUGCGGUAAGAGCGCACCAGUAGCUAGGCGACUAGCUAGCUAGGUAAACCCCACCUGGAGCAAGACCUGAUAGGGGGACACAUGGGAUAGCCCGUCCCGUUCCCGGGUAGGUCGCACGAGGUGUUAGGCAACUAGCAUCCCAGAUAGAUGAUCAUCCUACGACAGAACCCGGCUUACAGCGUGCUCAACUG